CAUUUGUAGCUUCUGAAACUCUUUCUUAAUGUGUUUGGCCCAUGAACUUUCUUAUUGAUCACAAAGACUUGGUAUGAAGAAGGAUAUUUCACAAUAAGGAAUGAAAAAUAGCAAAGGUUUUGAUCUGUAGUGGUUUGUUGAUCCCACGUGCUUAUGUGUGUAGCCUUGCCCCUCUACAUGUCUGAACAUGUGUAUGGUGCACAUGUUGUGAACAUCCAAGUUGUCCAUCAUUCCAUCCCCUAUAGGGAGCUUUAUCGUGUUUCCAUGAUCUCUGUAUAGGUGGGGACUGUUUUGAAAUGUUACUUACAACAGACUUCGGCUGUUCUACAAGUUAUCCCAUAUGUAAAGAAGGAGCUUAUCAUGACCACUUUUAAGACAGUGGGAAGGAUGGUAUUGAUGUGUGGAGAUGGGACCAAUGAUGUUGGGGCUCUGAAGCAGGAUUUUAGCUUUAAUACAUGGAGCAUGGAUUGAACUUGAAACCGAUGAGAUUAAACAAAAAAAAGUAAAAGAAGAGGGGCAAUAUGUAGAUGAUGUCAGGUAUGUCCAUUUAGGCAAGGUAGAUGAACUUCCAUUAAGAAGUUCCAUUUCUUCUGCUCAAAUCACUGUUAUUGCUGUCAUGAGUUUCUAUUUGAUGAUUCUCUUGGAUGUCUAUGAACUUAUGCACUGGUAGGUUUUGAAAAGUUGACUUAAUGCACCGGUAAGGUUUUGAAAAGUUUUUUCUUCUCAUUGAAUUCAUAAAUCCUAAAUAA